CUGCUGCUGUGCUGGUCAUCACAUCCCCACACAGCCUUCAAAGGUAGGAAGGGGGCAGGGAAAGGAGAAGAGCUCAUAAUAUUUUUCAGACUAGUUCCCUGGAUACAUGUGUAAUUGGAGAUGACUGAUGAGACCAUCCUGGAACUGGCAAAUUGUCACACGUUGGACAAGCUUUCCUCGGCAGAAAGGGCCUUUAGACUCUACUGAAUUACACCACCAGCUUUCCUGAUUCUCCAGUCUGAAGACGGCAGAUUGCGUGACUCCUCAGCCUCUGUAAUUGUGUGAGCUAAUCCUCAUAAUAAAUCUCCAGCAUCUGGUGGGAAGUGUGGUUUCGCCUGAUGACACUGAAAAAUCAUGCCACGAGUGUCCAGUAACAGAAAGAAAAUAGACUUGCUGCACUCUGAGGAAGGGAAGGCUCCUCUCCACGCCCCCAGCGUGUAUGGGACCUAAGCUGCCAGGUUUUAGAAUGCUGGAGAAUUUCAAAUCAGACCACCUGCUCCUUAAAUGUCAAAACCAGCAGUAGUGUUUACAAUUCUAUACAACGGAUGUUCUCUAGCAACACCAAAAGCAAAUUUCAGGUCGUUAUGUAUCCACUACCAGAUUAGCACUAUAAAGCUCCAUGUGCUCAUCUUGUACUCACCUGAGCUAAAGUUGUCAGGGAGACGGCAAAAGUAAAAGCUUAAAAUAACCCUGAGAAGUAUUGUUUGGGUGAUUCUGCUCACAAAUCGUCUUAUUUCACAAGAUUCUGGAAAGCUUCAUUGCUCCCUGCUGCAACUGGGCCAUUUUGCAGCUUGAAGUUUUGAGGUGACUCACCUGAAAAUUAAGCUAAAAGUGGACUGCAUAAGAUGGCUCACCAAAAUGACAGAGGUGAUAUCUGAGAUGUACCGAGAGUGAAACUCUUCAAGGUGUUCUUUCCAUCACUCUCUCACUGCUUUUCUUUCUUCAAGGCUGACCCACUUGGAAAAUUUUGGAAUUUUCAGCUCAUUAGUUCGUUUAAAAAUAUUUACAUUAUGACCUUCAGAUAAUAAUGGCUAUGAUAAUUUUACCAUACACCACUUCUACCUUGAAUCCCCUUAGAAAUAACUGAAGAAAUAUAAAAACAUCAGGAAACAGACACCAUCACUGGAAAUUAUGGAAAGGAGCUGUCAAAAAGCUGGGAAUAAUUUCUUUUAGAGUUAAUGCAUAUUUUUCUGAAAUGAAGAAAGGCCAGGAGGAUUCAGGCUGACUGAUACUUUCAGAAAUGUUCCAUUGGUCACUAAUUUGGAGGGUGAGCUCUACAGGCCACAGUGGACUUUAGAGAAGGUCAAGUAUGUUCACUCGAUGCCUUGUUCAUGGAGGAAGAUCAAUAGCAGAUGGAAGCACUGUAUUAGGAGACCUCAGAGUUCGUGCAAGAGUCACAUCAAGCAGAAAGCUGCCAGUGAGGCAAAAUUUCUUUUAGACACAUUUAGUUUUCUAUUUGAUGUGGUAAGAAGCAGCCUGGGAAAGCAGAUUGGGCAAGAUUUUCCAUGACUUGGCAUUAUGGAUGAACCAAGAAAAGGCCAAAAGCUGACCCUCAGUAGAGUGGAUCACCAGAAAGAGUUCCUUCUUGAUUUCUUCAGCCUCUGAAACAGCCAGCCACACUUGUAAUUUAUAGAAAGUAACCUCAAGGCUUAAGGUCUGCAAAGAAAAUUUUAAGAGAAAUAUAAAAGUCAGUGAAGGAGAUCCAAAGAGCAUAAGCUUUUCUCAUUAAAGAUGGAUGUACCAUAACGACUCAACUCAAUGUGGUACCAAACCAAGUGUUCUGAGGCCUGAAAGGAAGAAGAUGAAGAAGAGACUUUAUUUCUAAGAGAAAUAGCUUCCACAGGAAAGAGAACAAAUUUAGUAUAAGUGCUUUGUACUUUCAAUAAAACUCUAGAAAUAUGGAGGAGAAGCAUGAGAUAAUAAAACAAGAGACUGAGGUUAAAGGAAGCUGGCUGGGAGAGAGAGAGCAUAGAAGUCCACAGUGAGUUGGUUAAGGUAGGAAAAGAAGAGAAGGAACUCAAAUGUAAUAGUCCAUUUAAGAUCUGCAUGAGAAGGACUGAAAUUUGCAUCAGAAGAAUUAAAAUGGAACAGCUUUUUCCAUGAUGCAAGGAAUCAUAAUGUGGAAGGCAAAUUUGAGAGGCUUUUCCAGAAUUCAGCUGAAGAGGACAAAGAGGUGAAACUGAUGAGAGAGAAGAUGAUAUGGUUCAUGCGUCCUGGAGAUGCGAUGGAAGGACUGUGGUGUUUUGAAUGGCCUCAA